rnacentral:rRNA from 1 species
AGUGAACGCUGGCGGCAGGCCUAAUACAUGCAAGUCGAACGGCAGCACGGCAGAGCUUGCUCUGUGGGUGGCGAGUGGCGAACGGGUGAGGAAUACAUGGGAAUCUGCCCAGUCGUGGGGGAUAACGUAGGGAAACUUACGCUAAUACCGCAUGCGCCCUUCGGGGGAAAGCCGGGGACCUUCGGGCCUGGCGCGAUUGGAUGAGCCCAUGUCGGAUUAGCUAGUUGGCGGGGUAAUGGCCCACCAAGGCGACGAUCCGUAGCUGGUCUGAGAGGAUGAUCAGCCACACUGGAACUGAGACACGGUCCAGACUCCUACGGGAGGCAGCAGUAGGGAAUAUUGGACAAUGGGCGCAAGCCCGAUCCAGCCAUGCCGCGUGAGUGAAGAAGGCCCUCGGGUUGUAAAGCUCUUUUGUCCGGAAGAAAAGCGCCGGGUUAAUACCCUGGUGUCCUGACGGUACCGGAAGAAUAAGCACCGGCUAACUUCGUGCCAGCAGCCGAC